UAACACGGGGAGGCGGGAGUUCAGACAUUCAGUGCUUCACGGUUAAUACUUACUUGGGCCAAGCCCAUAUUUUUUACCCUAAAUUCUGAUCCAUAUAAAAAGGUAAAAAAAAAAUGUAAACCCUAAAUUUCUACCCUCUCACUCACUCACACUCUCUCAGACUCUCAGUCACACUCUCUCUCUCUCUAAAAAAAUACCAAGUGCGCCGCUUGCUUAGUUGCUCCACUCCUCACCGUCUGAUCCUCUCUAUCUCUCAUCCUCUCUCAAUUCUUCGGUUCAUUCCUCUUCAUUCACUCGGGAAAUGGCUGAACUGGUUGACCAAAUAGGCUCAUCGGCCAUCCUCCUCCAAGGCUCCAACAAUAUCUAAUGUUAUGUUCUUGUUUUAAAAAAUUCUAGUUACUGUAAUUUGUGCCUUUGAGGCAACUUUAUUUGGUCUGUAAAACUUAAUAAUUCGUUCCAACUUAUUAGUGUGUGCAAACUUAACUCCUAGACUUAUUAUAUUUUAACUCUUUAUGAGUUAAACUUUUGUGUAAGAUAUUCAGGUAUUUCUUAUCGGGA